AAUAUGAGGUUAUGUUCAGAUCCACAUUCUAUGAAUACAAAGCUUGGAUUUUGGAACGAGAGGACAAUUCGCUUGAAGCCACUGAAUAUAUAGCUUUUGAGGACUUCGGUUUAGAAGCCUAAAGUAUGUUCCAAUCAUAAACAGUUUUCAUUCCAAAAAGGAUUUCAAACUACAGCUCAUGUAUUCUCUGAUGAAAGGUUUGAAACAAUUCGUUUUAAGAAAAAAUAAUAUGUGGUUAUCACAAUUUAACAGAUUGUCUGGAUUAAUCCAUAGCAAUUUCCUUGCAUGUAUUCAGGCUACCUUAACACACGCUGAAUCAGACUUUCAAAUUCAGACUUAGAGGGAUGUGAGUACAGACUUGGCACUUGGCAGUAUAGAAAUUCCCUGAACAACUACACACGCUGAAUCAGGUAUUCUAGAUCCUGAACACAAAACAUAAAUUAUCUAAUGCUGCAAAUUUGAGCUGAAGAAAUUGCAAUUGCUGAAGAUUGAACUGAAACCAGAAAUUUAUACCAUAUAGGGUUUGCAGUAGAGGAUUCCAUGAGAGGGAGGUACAGGUGCGGCGGUGUCGACGGACUGGUGGACGAGCGAGUCGGAGUGCCGGUGUAGAAGAGCGGCUGUGGCGAGCGGCUGGCGCACGAGCCUGCCGGGGCGCCGGGGACGCGCUGCGGCGGUGGCGAGGUCGCCGUUGGCCGGGCUGGUGCCGCCUCC